UUGAGACUUGAUUUCUUAGAGCUUCCUCCU
rnacentral:piRNA from 1 species